rnacentral:miRNA from 1 species
UCCAGAGGGAGAACGUGGCGA